GAGGGCAUAGCUCAGUGGUAGAGUGCAUGCCUAGCAUGCACAAGGUCCUAGGUUCAAUCCCCAGUACUUCCA
rnacentral:tRNA from 1 species